UUUUGGAUGCAAACUGUAUUCUGAUCAUUGGCUUAGAAUUAGAGAAAUAAAAAUUUGAUAUUUACUAGUGUAAGUUAAUAAAAUACUGAAUAUAGUAAAUAAUUUAGUGUCCUGGAGCAAGUCCAAAAAUUUAGCUAUUGCUUCAAAACUCCUUUAACAUAAUAAUAAAAUGUUGGCAGUAUUUGCUGUGCUAAACUGCAAGUUCCUUAAAAGCAGAAGCUUCUUAUCUACUCUGCUUUUGACAUAAUGU
rnacentral:lncRNA from 1 species